AUUCAUAUGCCGUAACUUCCUAAUCGUAAAGCUGAGUUGUCUCUCUUUGACUCUUUCUUCUUAUGGUUUUCUGUACUACUCGUAUUUUUCAUCACCGUUGCUUCAAUCCUUAACCUUGAAUCGAUAUGCAGUGACGGAGCUUAGCAGGAACCACUACCAAUUGAACCACAUGCUUUGACCCCUUGAAUUGCUUCGACUACAGGCACAACCAAUCGACCUCAUGGCUCAGGAUCCAAUUGACCACUCAUUACAAUCAACAUCUCCCGUAAGUGUUUAGUGUUACAAAACCAUUAGCGUUAUCAAAGGUGAUGGUGGAGUUAGAAGCAUCAAGAGCAUGACAUAUACUGAUGGAACAAGUUCAAAGCACACAAUCGAUGACAUUGACGCAAGCAACUUUAUACUAAGUUGGACGUUCUUUGAAGGAGACGCCUUGAUGGGUAUAAUAAACACAGCUACUCACCAUAUGAAGUUCAUACCUUCUCCUAAUGGAGGAUCCGUAUUCAAACAAACAUUUGUAAUUAGGUAUAAAGGUGAUGCCAAACAAAUGGAUGAUGUUAUUAAUAUUACUAAAGAAGCAAUCAAGAAUACUUUCAAGAAGAUGGAGUCUUAUGCUAUUGCCCAUCCUGAAGUUUACUAAUGCUUUCACCUAGAUAAUGGUGAUGUGUUCGACUGUGACAUCAUUGUACUCUAUUUUUGUUUCAUGUAAUAAUGAACAAUAAAAUAUAUUAAGUACGCAUAAUAAAUUUUCUAAUUUACAGA